UACGUAGGGUGCAAGCGUUGUCCGGAAUUACUGGGCGUAAAGCGUGCGCAGGCGGUUCGUUGUGUCGGCGGUGAAAGCCCCGGGCUCAACCUGGGAAUGGCCGUUGAAACUGGCGAACUGGAGUGUGGCAGAGGGGGGUGGAAUUCCGCGUGUAGCAGUGAAAUGCGUAGAGAUGCGGAGGAACACCGAUGGCGAAGGCAGCCCCCUGGGCUGACACUGACGCUCAGGCACGAAAGCGUGGGGAGCAAACAGG
rnacentral:rRNA from 1 species